GUCAGCGCGUCGGCACCUUGGCUCUAGACUGAUUACUGCUAAGUAGCAUUAAAGAAACAGUAACAGUCUACAGUCAUGGCUACUGAAGCAUGA
ensembl:miRNA